rnacentral:lncRNA from 1 species
AGUAUGCAAGUGGAGGCGAGUGAUCCCGAAGCAGGAGAAGAGAGCAACAGUGAUACGCAUAAGAAGCUGUGACAAGAAGUGGCAUCGAUCAAAACUGACAAUAUUGCUGGCAAUUGCAUAUGACGUAACUGUACUCUCAAAGAUUAUGUUAAUUAUAACAAUCAGUGUUAUCCCUCUUUAUUCACAAACUGGACUUUUGUGAUUUAUGCAUGCAUGUAAAUAUGUUAUAAUCAACUGA